AGCGAACGCUGGCGGCAGGCCUAACACAUGCAAGUCGAACGGAUCCUUCGGGAUUAGUGGCGGACGGGUGAGUAACACGUGGGAACGUGCCCUUUGGUUCGGAACAACUCAGGGAAACUUGAGCUAAUACCGGAUAAGCCCUUCGGGGGAAAGAUUUAUCGCCAUUGGAGCGGCCCGCGUAGGAUUAGCUAGUUGGUGGGGUAAAGGCCCACCAAGGCUACGAUCCUUAGCUGGUCUGAGAGGAUGAUCAGCCACAUUGGGACUGAGACACGGCCCAAACUCCUACGGGAGGCAGCAGUGGGGAAUCUUGCGCAAUGGGCGAAAGCCUGACGCAGCCAUGCCGCGUGAAUGAUGAAGGUCUUAGGAUUGUAAAAUUCUUUCACCGGGGACGAUAAUGACGGUA
rnacentral:rRNA from 1 species